AGUCGGGGGUAGUCCAUUUUAGUUUUCCAACGGAAAAUGCUUCCGUUUUUCUUCUAAUAACUAUUCUCAACUUAAAUCUCUAAAAACACUAAAAACAGACGUAUCUAUCAAAUCUCUAUUUUGCACAAUUUUUAACAAAAAUUUCUGCACUCGAAAAAACAAAAUGCCUGUUAAAAAAAUCGUUAAAUCAGUUUUUAAAUACAUCCAUCGAUUAAGAAAAAAUAAAAGUGAUGCUAUUAGAUACGUUAAAAUUUAAGUAAUAUUUGUGUCAAUGUUUUAGAAUACUUUGUUGAAACUAUUUAAUUAACGUUGAUUAAAUUCGUGUAUUUAGGCAAUUUAGUGAAAAUUAUUUAUCCGCAUGGAAUUUUAAGGAAUUGAUGAGAUGGAUCCAUUAGGACAUGACGAGGCAUCAAAAGAUCCCGCAGCAGAUCAUAAAAUAAAGCUUCCUCUAGACGAAAAAGAUUUUGAAGGUCAUCGCGCGCAUAGCGUAUUUAUCGGCGUCCACGUGCCCGUGGAGCGUCGACAUUCGCAUCGACGUCACCAUCAUCGUCACAAAAGUCCUGAAGGAAGUGUUAAUACUGGGCUCCAAGAAUGUCGCCCUAGUACGAUAACGUCAAGAAGAAGAGGAUUGAGUAUUAGCGAAGAACCCCAAAUGUGUACUCCUCCAUCUCAAAGAGUGCAGUUCAUCCUUGGAGAAGAUGCGACAGACGAAAAACAUGAAAUUCACCCUCUCUUCUCCGAAAUGGAGGAGUUGGUGGGAGACGGAGACGAAAUGGAAUGGAAAGAAACCGCCAGGUGGAUCAAGUUCGAAGAAGAUGUUGAAGAAGGAGGAAACAGAUGGUCCAAACCACACGUAGCUACAUUAUCCUUACAUUCCUUAUUUGAACUAAGAAGUUUAUUACUAAAUGGAACGGUUAUUUUGGAUAUGGAGGCAAAUUCAAUCGAACAAAUUUCAGAUUUGGUAUUGGAUAAUAUGAUAAAUAAUAACAGUUUGCCUUUCGAUAAAAAAGGAAAAGUGAGGGAAGCUUUGAUGAAGAGGCACCGGCAUCAACAUCAGACAAAGAACCACACGUUGCCUUUUAUAAGGUCAUUUAACGAAACUAAAAAUCAUUCUUCUUCGAAGAUUGAUGAACAUUUUAGUGACUAUUCUUCUGGGAAAGAAUUUGGAAAGUUUUUAGGAGUCCCUGGACAGGAUAAAUCUAUACAGAAAAGUGCAAGCUAUGUAUCAAUACACAGAAAUCACAGUUCUGGGGAUCUCUCCGAAGUUCAACACAACUUAGCGUUUAUGAAAAAGAUUCCAAUGGGUGCAGAGGCGAGUAACAUUCUUGUAGGGGAAGUUGGAUUUUUAGAAAAAACUUUAUCAGCUUUUGUUAGACUUAAUACGGCCACUAUUUUGGGGGAUUUGACUGAAGUUCCAGUGCCAACAAGAUUUUUAUUCAUCCUUCUCGGUCCUUUAUCACCUUCUUCUAGCUACCAUGAAAUUGGUAGAGCCAUGGCGACACUGAUGUCAGAUGAGGUGUUCCAUGAGGUAGCAUACCGAGCACGUAAUAGAAGUCAUUUAUUAGCUGGUAUAGAUGAAUUUCUUGAUGCAGUAACAGUAUUACCACCCGGAGAAUGGGAUCCUGCUAUAAGAAUAGAACCACCGGCAGCCAUACCUUCUCAAAAUGCUAGAAAAAGGCCACCUGAAAAAAUGAUGGAAGAAAUAGAUGAGGAAGAACAAGAACAAAUACAAAGAGCUGAAGCUGGAUUGGCUAGAACUGGAAUAUUAUUCGGAGGUUUAAAGAAUGAUAUCAAAAGAAAAGCACCAUUUUAUUUAUCAGAUUUUAAAGAUGCUUUUUCUACUCAAUGUAUCGCUUCUUGGAUAUUCCUUUAUUUUGCUUGUCUUUCUCCUAUUAUAACAUUUGGAGGUCUUCUCUCUGAAGCAACUGGUAAAAAUAUGGCAGCAAUGGAAUCGUUGGUAUCUGGAUUCGUUUGUGGUGUUGGAUACGGAUUAUUCUCCGGACAACCUUUGUCUAUUUUAGGAUCUACAGGACCAGUAUUAGUAUUCGAAACGAUAGUUUUUGAUUUCUGUUAUACUAUGAAAUGGAAUUAUAUGUCUUUUAGAUUUUGGAUAGGAACAUGGACUGCUAUUAUUCUAUUGAUAUUGGUAGCAAUUGAUGCAAGUGCAUUCGUUUGCUAUAUUACUAGAUUUACUGAAGAGAACUUCGCUACUCUGAUAGCUUUCAUUUUUAUUUACAAGGCUGUGGAAAACGUGUGGGCAAUAGGGAAGAAGUUUCCAAUAACGGUGGACGUAAAUAAUAUAAAUAUGGAAUGUUCUUGUACUUGGAACGAUUCUAUAUCUUCAUCGUCAAAUUUUUCAAAUACUGCUACAGUUAAUCAAACAUUAUGUCAGCAAUUGAAUGGUACACUAUCUGAAGGCUGUUUCACUCCACCAUACUCUCCGGAUAUAUUUUUAAUGUCAGUUCUACUGUUUCUUGGUACUUUCGUCAUUUCAAUCCAAUUGAAAGACUUCAAAAAUGCUCUCUACUUUCCAUCCAAAGUACGUCAAUUUAUUAGUGACUUUGCAGUCAUAAUAGCAAUAUGUUCCAUGACCCUUUUAGAUUACUAUGUAAGCAUUCCAACUCCAAAACUUGAAGUUCCUCAUGAGUUAAAACCUACCCUUCCAGGAAGGGGAUGGAUAAUAGCACCAUUCAAUCAUAAUCCUUUCUACACCGUAUUUGUGGCGAUACCACCAGCUCUAUUAGGUACCAUCCUAAUAUUCAUGGAUCAACAGAUUACUGCUGUCAUUGUCAAUAGAAAAGAGUUCAAACUCAAAAAAGGUUGUGGUUACCACUUAGAUCUCUUUGUUCUGGCGAUUCUCAUCGAAAUAUGUUCUGUUAUGGGUCUACCAUGGUUCGUAGCAGCAACAGUACUCUCUAUAACACAUGUACAUUCUCUUAAACUGGAAUCAGAAUGUGCAGCUCCGGGGGACAAGCCUCAAUUUUUGGGUGUAAGAGAACAGAGGGUCACUCAUAUCUUGAUAUUUGCAUCAAUAGGUUUAUCAGUAUUUUUGACACCUAUGUUGGGUCAUAUACCUAUGCCCGUUUUGUUUGGAGUAUUUUUAUACAUGGGCAUUUCUUCAUUAAAAGGACUACAAUUCUUUGACAGGUUACGAAUUAUGUUAAUGCCUAACAAGUAUCAACCGGAUUUUAUGUUUUUAAGACAGGUACCCAUCAAAAAGGUUCAUCUCUUCACAAUCAUCCAAUUAACCUGUUUAAUUUGCCUCUGGAUGGUGAAAUCUUUCAGCCAGACUUCAAUAUUAUUUCCUCUAAUGUUGGUAGUGAUGAUUGGGAUCAGAAAAUCUUUAGAUUGGAUCUUCACAAGACGAGAGCUCAGGAUUCUCGACGAUGUUAUGCCAGAAAAUAAUAAAAUAUAUCAAUUGGAUGAUGAAGAGGAAAGAUCGGGAAAAAAUCCAAUAGAGCUCCAAAAAAAAUCUGGAAAUUUGAAAAUUCCCUUAGCCAACGGAAAUGUUAUGAAUAUACCUUUAUCUGCAAUUAAUAUUUCCGAAGAAGUGGAUAAAACAGGUAUAUGGAAACAUGUGAAUGAUUGCCAAAGUCAAGAAAAAGUAAAAAAGAAGAGUCCCAGGAGUAAAACUAAGUUUAAAAAGAAGAAACCUGGACGAAAAGAGGAAAAAAUUAUUAAAGAUGAAAAGCUGGAGAAAAGACUGUCGACUUGUCAAGAAGAAGAGGACGAGGGUUUCAUCAUAAAGGUGACAGACACGUCUCUUCAUAUUUAAAUUUAAAUAUACAUUAGACAUCAACACAGUAUACACUAUUUCAUAUAAACUAAUCCCUAAAUAAACUCAUUAGAUGAAACGUGGAGGAGGUCCAUAUUCAAAUCAUAUGACUAACGACUAAAUUCAUCCAUUCCAGUAUUAUAUCAACAGUUUUUUACAUAAAAAAUAUAUUUUAAUACCCUUGAUACGGUUUCCUUUAAAAAACAUUUAGGUAAUAGAGAAAUUAGUUAAAUAUAGUCAAUGUAUUAGUUUUCUUUUUCUAUAUCUUAUGUCUCAAAAAUCUAUGGAUUUGUGUAUGUACUAUAAUCUGGCCUGUCGGUAUUGAGAGCAAUAAAAACGCGUGAUCGGUUCAUGGGAUGCUAGUAGUACCUUUUAUAACGAUUCGUAUUGGCUGAAGCAAUGUCUGAGAAAGUCAAGUUCACACGCACGUUAUAUUAAUUUAUUAUUAUUAUAUUCUAAAAAUUUUAUAUUAAUAAUUAUUUUAAGCUUCUGUUUUAUUAAGUUAUUUAUUUACUUUGAUAAAAAUUAAAAAUUAAACUACAUUUCUAACAUGCACUUUUACAGUAAGAAUUAUGUGACUGUAUAAUAGCGCAUGUUAAACAUGUACUUUAAUUUUUAUUAUUCUUUAAUAUGUGGUAUUAUAGUUAUGUUAUACAUUGACUAUCCUCUAUUUUAAAAUAAAUUUUAUUGUUAAAAGUGGCUGUGAUAUUCAUGGAACUAAAUUUGAACUGUCUAUUUACGUUAUUCAAUCUGAAGAACAAUCAUUUCUAAACGCGUCAUUGCUUUAAUACUUUUAGAAUUUUGACAAAAUGCAUCUGAGGAUACAAAGCAUAAUAAAUAUUUAUUAUUUAUAAAAACUGGAGCGAUUUUCUUUUUUUUUAUUACAAUAUUCGCAUCAACCGUAUACUGGUUAUUAGAGAUUUAGUAAAGAUUAAGUAUUUAAUCUAUGAAUAAUUGUUAAAUUAAUUUUAUGAUAGAGACCUGUUUAAGGUAAUUUUUAAGGUAAGUAAUGUUGUAUUUUGGUCCUAAAAUUUCACGUAUUGUUCCGAGUGGUAGAUUUAAUGAUGAUCUUUCUGAGUUAAGAGAUGGACAUUCUGCGAUUAUGUGUUUUAUAGUUAAUUUGCAAUUUCAGUUGCUACAUUUUGGUUCGGGCUUCGCAUCAAAUAAGUAGCUGUGCGUCAGUCGCGUAUGGCCUAGACGCAGACGUAUUAGAAGAACUUCAUCUCUGCGAUUUUUCGGUAGUAUUGACCAUGGUUUUAUUGAGUCUUUCACUUCACGAAGUUUGUGUGUGGAUGUUGACCAUUUGAUCUCCCAUUCAUUGAACACUUUACGCUUUAAGAUUGUUUUAAUAUCGGUAGUAGUUAAGGAGCGAUUUUCCUCAUUGCAACCAAGUUAUUGUUUUUAUUGUAGUUGCAAUCUGCAAUCUUUUGAAUAGUGUGGGUAAAAAAAUAUUUCAAGACUAUAAUGUUUACAUAUUGGAUAAAAGUGGCACUGUUUUUAAAUUCCACCAAUAAAACGCUAAGACGACAAGAGUCACAAUGAAAAUGGAAUGUGAUCAUCCGAGUGAGUAAGGCAAUCCAACAUGUCCGCUUUUUUAGAAAUAAAAUGUGGGACAUUGAUAAUUUAAUGGAAAAACAAGUGGAACCUCUAAUAAUAAAGAGUCGUCCUCGUCGGAAUCAGAUUCCGAUUUAGAUUAAAAUAAAAAUUCAUCCGCCCUUAUAUCCCUCUCAACCACCUUUUUUGAAAACAAAGAAUUUAUUCUGGAAAGGACCUUGUGUGUUUAUAAAGAUUAUUAUUAUUAUUUAUAUCGUUUUGUAUGAAUUUAUUUUAUAACCUUUGAUACGUAUUUGAAUAAAACAUAUAGCACGACAUUUCUUUCUUAGAUAUUACUUUACAGUAUUAGGUACCCUUACAUUUUUAUUUAAUAUACCAUAAAUUUGAAAAACCGUCUAGCUAUUUAAGGUUAGGGAAAACAAAAUUACGAUUAAAAUAAUAAUUUUAUAUAUUUAUAGAUACUUUGAAAAAAUCAAGACAACGUGUGAAAUAUGUAGGUAUAACAUUUAGUAGUUAACUAAGUGAACGAAGAUUUUAAUGUAUGAAUGCUAUGAAAUUGAUAAAUAAAAGUAUUAUUUAUAUGAUAUGAUAUUAAAAUAAAGUAUUUAAAAUUCUAAUAAAAAUGUUAGUUUGAAAAAAGUAUUUAAAAUUCUAUUCAAAUUUGCCAAUAAAUACCUUUUAGUGUUGUGUAUGGUGUGAUUCAGGCUUACAAUUUCUCUCUCACGCACUAUGCACGUGAUUACUCUCUGUAAUGAGCGGUCAUACUAUAGUUAAUAAUCACUUUAAGCAAUUUUGAAAAUUAGCUUUAUUUUUUUUUUCAAAUUCCACUGAAAAAUUCACAAAAAAUCCCAAACGUUUUCUUGCUUCUAGUCUUUUAGUUGCUUGUUUACGUCUGCUGUUCAAGAUUUUCAAUCGUAACUUGAAAAAAACAAUAUGUAUUUAAUAUCUUAGACCGAAAUUUGUUAUAUAAUAUUUGUCCUCAGCGAAGGUUUUUCAAAGAUUUUAUGGAAAAGGCUGUAAAUAUAUCAAAAUAUUCUGUACAUUCGCAUAUCUGUAGGUUUAACUUUGGUAUUUGUAUUACCAUUAUAUUUUAUAAACAAUAUUAACAAAUAUGUGUAAAUAAAAUAAAAAACAAUAU